rnacentral:rRNA from 1 species
CGGCGGACGGGUGAGUAACACGUGGGUAACCUGCCUGUAAGACUGGGAUAACUCCGGGAAACCGGGGCUAAUACCGGAUAACAUCAAGAGCUGCAUGGCUUCUGAUUGAAAGGCGGCUUCGGCUGUCACUUACAGAUGGACCCGCGGCGCAUUAGCUAGUUGGUGAGGUAACGGCUCACCAAGGCGACGAUGCGUAGCCGACCUGAGAGGGUGAUCGGCCACACUGGGACUGAGACACGGCCCAGACUCCUACGGGAGGCAGCAGUAGGGAAUCUUCCGCAAUGGACGAAAGUCUGACGGAGCAACGCCGCGUGAGUGAAGAAGGUUUUCGGAUCGUAAAACUCUGUUGUCAGGGAAGAACAAGUACGGGAGUAACUGACCGUACCUUGACGGUACCUGGCCAGAAAGCCACGGCUAAC